UCCGUGCCCGUCCACCGAACGGCCGGCAGGCGAUCCGCGUGGUCGCGCGAGGUGGGAUGGUUCCCAAGAGGCUGGUUCUUGUGUUGCCUACCCCUUCGAGGGAAGCGCUCCACUCGACGGUUAAGCCUCCAUCCGGCGCCUUCCAAUGGGCGCAGGAGGACAACGGAGCACCCCCCGCGUUCCACCGGGCCGUCGUAGGUCGCGUGGCCCGCGGGGACGUGCGACGCUCUCGGACCCAGCGCACGCCGUGGGCGAGGACUCACGUCCCAGUCCCAAGAGAAGCUUCGGCAUAAUGUUGACGGCCGCCCCCGCCCCCCGACCGCCCCGGCGGCGCGGGGGCGAGGCGCGGCGUCGCGGAGGGAUGCUACCU
rnacentral:misc_RNA from 1 species